rnacentral:lncRNA from 1 species
AAGCAACUCUGCUAGUGAAUCUGGAAUUCACUGUCAUGGACCUCAUGCCCCAGGACAUUCAUGACUUGGGGGAAAAACACCCAGAAUUUGGUCCCUCUGCCUGGAUAUUUUAUUUUGAAACUUGGAAGAGGCAAUGGAGUGUUGUGAUUAAGACGAUACACUCAACAGUCAUAUUGCUGGGCUUAAAUAUGGGCUUCAUCACUCACUAGCUGUGUGACCCUGGGCAAGGUUGUUGACGAUGCUAUGUAAUAAUAUCUGCAGAAGUACUUUUAAAACUGUAAGCAACAAAUAAUAGCUACAGUUAUACUUCCUCCACUGCCAUACUGUCUCGCUCCAAAAACAAACCAUAGUUGUUCUUCACAUAUACAAUUAUAGACCUGGAAAUAAUGAGGCGUUCA